rnacentral:rRNA from 1 species
GAUGAACGCUAGCGGCAGGCUUAAUACAUGCAAGUCGAGGGGCAGCAUGAUUGUAGCAAUACAAUUGAUGGCGACCGGCAAACGGGUGCGGAACACGUACACAACCUUCCAACAAGUGGGGGAUAGCCCAGAGAAAUUUGGAUUAAUACCCCGUAACAUAGCGAUGUGGCAUCACAUUGCUAUUAUAGAUUUUUCGCUUGUUGAUGGGUGUGCGGCUGAUUAGAUAGUUGGCGGGGUAACGGCCCACCAAGUCUACGAUCAGUAGCUGAUGUGAGAGCAUGAUCAGCCACACGGGCACUGAGACUCAGGCCCGACUCCUACGGGAGGCAGCAGUAAGGAAUAUUGGACAAUGGACGCAAGUCUGAUCCAGCCAUGCCGCGUGAAGGAUUAAGGUCCUCUGGAUUGUAAACUUCUUUUAUAAGGGACGAAAAAAGGCUUUUCUAAGUCGUCUGACGGUACCUUAUGAAUAAGCACCGGCUAACUCCGUGCCAGCCGCCGCCGUAACAC